UGAGACAAAGGAUGAAAUUGACAACACACAUGGAGAAAAGGAAAACAAAGAGACAAUCUGUCCCCAGAACGGAACAGCUAACAGCAAACGCUACUGAAAAUCAUGGGGCAGGCAUCUCCACGGAGUGAAGGGAAGAGCCCAGCUAAAGACCCAGGAAAUAAAUCAAAAAAGGGACAGCGUUUGAGGUGGUCCCUGACCAGUGGACAAGACUUAGCUGGGCUCAGGCAAGUUGUUCUGUGUGGCUGGAGUACAGAAUAUGCUGGAAACCGGGGAGGUCAAAAAAAAAAAUGAACAGGAAAUUCUG